GACGAACGCUGGCGGCGUGCUUAACACAUGCAAGUCGAACGAAGUGGCGAACGGGUGAGUAACGCGUAAUCAAACUUCCCUUCAGAGGGGGACAACAGUUGGAAACGACUACUAAUACCGCAUACUGAAGGAGGGGAUUGCGUCGGAUUGGCGAGUUGGAGGGGUAACGGCCCCCCAAGGCGAUGAUCAGUAACCGGUCUGAGAGGAUGAACGGCCACAUUGGGACUGAGACACGGCCCAGACUCCUACGGGAGGCAGCAGUGGGGGAGCUUCCGAAAUGGACGAAAGUCUGACGGAGCAACGCCGCGUGAGUGAUGACGGCCUUCGGGGUGGAAAGCUCUGUUAAUCGGGACGCGGUACCGGAAUAGAAAGCCACGGCUAACUACGUGCCAGCCGCCGCGGUAAUUC
rnacentral:rRNA from 1 species